GACGUCAACAGUCUAUAACCUCACUUUUACCAUUUAUUUACGUUUAAACAUUUAGUAAUGUUUAAAACCCUGAUUAAUAAGUUAAUGCCGGCCGGGCAGGCCUGUGGGUUCCACACGACGGCUAGUCUGAGCGAGGUGCGGUUGUUAUCAAGACUGCGAGUCGUCGACAACUCCGAGAUCGGCAAGCGAGCCAUGGCAGAAGGCAAACCGCCCAAGAUCAUCUGCGUUUAUAACAAGAGACGAGUGGGCUUCAUUGGAGACCGAGUGAUGGUGGCAAUCAAAGGACAAAAGAAAAAGGGCAUACUAGUGGGUCUGAAGCAAACGCAAAAGGUGAAGGUACCCAAGUUUGACAGCAACAAUGUGGUGCUCAUAGAUGACAAUGGCACACCACUGGGAACCCGUAUUCAUGUGCCCAUCCCGACCAUUCUGCGCACCAUUCUCAAGGAGAGAACACACUCAAAGGGCGCAGAUUACACAAAGCUCCUCGGAAUAGCCACUAGGUUUGUUUAAGUUGUUAGUUCUAGUUUGUAAAUAGGUAGUGAUAUUGAAUAAAUUUAUUUACUUCUUAAAAAAAA